UACGGGGGGGGCAAGCGUUGUUCGGAAUUACUGGGCGUAAAGGGCUCGUAGGCGGCCAACUAAGUCGGAUGUGAAAUCCCCAGGCUCAACUUGGGAACUGCAUCCGAUACUGGAUGGCUUGAAUUCGGGAGAGGGAUGCAGAAUUCCAGGUGUAGCGGUGAAAUGCGUAGAUAUCUGGAGGAAUACCGGUGGCGAAGGCGGCAUCCUGGACCGACAUUGACGCUGAGGAGCGAGAGCUAGGGGAGCAAACGGG
rnacentral:rRNA from 1 species